AUGAUAAUACUGGUUCUUCUGCUGGGAGCACUGGGGCUGAUCACUCAGGACUCUUUGGGGGACAUAAUUCUCACUCAGUCUCCGGCGUCUCAGUCUGUUUCUCCAGGAGAGACUGUUACUCUCAGCUGCAGAGCUGAUGUGGAUAUUGAUGAUGAUCUGUACUGGUACCUGCAGAAACCCGGAGAAUCUCCUAAACUCCUGAUUUAUACAGCCACCACUCGUCAGUCUGGAAUUCCAGAUCGUUUCAGUGGCAGUGGCUACAACAGAGAUUUCACUCUGAAGAUCACUGGAGUUCAGCCUGAAGAUGCAGGAGAUUAUUACUGUCAGCAGGAUGACGCUACUCCGUUCACACAGUGA